AUUGUGUCUGACACUGCUUCAUGAGAUGGCAGCGACAAUGUUGAGUUGCAAGGCCCCUGUGACACAUGGGGCCUUGCUCCGCCUAAGUACUGUGUGUUUUCAGCAGUAACAUCACGUAGACGUGAAUGUAGCAGAGCCCCCAGUGAAGCUUCAUUUUCCCAGCCUCCCACCGGGAAGGAGCACCCAGGACUCUCCCUUUGAAUUGGGCACUAUAACAUGAUGGCAACCUCCCAAAAUGGAAAAAAAAAAAAAAGCUUUAGGUGUCUUCUCGCUCUCCAAAUACCAACAGAAUAUCCAGCAAACAAAAAUCAAAGACUUGUAGUCAUCAGCAGAAAGAGCCAUGAAACCCCACUGACCUCACUGAACCCCACGUUGUUGCUCUUGGAAUGCUCCUAUUAAUCAGAUCCCAAAAUCUCACUUGAUCUGAAGAAGUUAAGCCCAAGGACACCCUCUCUGAAAGAAAGACAUCAAAAAUCUGAACUUGACAUCUUC